rnacentral:rRNA from 1 species
GGCGCGAAACCUCUACAAUGCUCGUAAGAGUGAUAGGGGAACUCCGAGUGGCGUCAACUAAGUUGGCGUCUUUUGCCAAGUGUACAAAGCUUGGCGAAUAAGGGUGUGGGCAAGACUGGUGGCAGCCGCCGCGGUAACACCAGCGCCUCGAGUGGUACCCACGAAUACUGGGCCUAAAGCGUCCGUAGCCGGCUUGAUAAGUCUUCUGUGAAAUAGUGGGGCUUAACCCUACUGCGCGCAGGAGAUACUGUCUGGCUUGGGAACGGGGGAGGUCGGGAGUACAUCCGGGGUAGGGGUAAAAUCCGUUGAGCCUGGAUGGACUACCAGUGGCGAAGGCGCCCGGCCAAAACGUGUCCGACGGUGAGGGACGAAAGCUGGGGGAGCGAACGGGAUUAGAUACCCCAGUAGUCC